AGCGAACGCUGGCGGCAGGCCUAACACAUGCAAGUCGAACGAACCCUUCGGGGUUAGUGGCGGACGGGUGAGUAACACGUGGGAACGCGCCCUUCGGUUCGGGAUAACUCAGGGAAACUUGGGCUAAUACCGGAUACGCCCUUACGGGGAAAGAUUUAUUGCCGAAGGAACGGCCCGCGUCCGAUUAGCUUGUUGGUGAGGUAACGGCUCACCAAGGCGACGAUCGGUAGCUGGUCUGAGAGGAUGACCAGCCUCACUGGGACUGAGACACGGCCCAGACUCCUACGGGAGGCAGCAGUGGGGAAUAUUGGACAAUGGGCGCAAGCCUGAUCCAGCCAUGCCGCGUGGGUGAUGAAGGCCCUAGGGUUGUAAAGCCCUUUCGGCGGGGAAGAUAAUGACGGUACCCGCAGAAGAAGCCCCGGCUAACUUCGUGCCAGCAGCCGCAGUAACAC
rnacentral:rRNA from 1 species